CAGUUCGGUCCCUAUCUGCCGUGGGCGCUGGAGAGCGGAGGGGGGCUGCUCCUAGUACGAGAGGACCGGAGUGGACGCAUCACUGGUGUUCGGGUUGUCAUGCCAAUGGCACUGCCCGGUAGCUAAAUGCGGAAGAGAUAAGUGCUGAAAGCAUCUAAGCACGAAACUUGCCCCGAGAUGAGUUCUCCCUGACUCCUUGAGAGUCCUGAAGGAACGUUGAAGACGACGACGUUGAUAGGCCGGGUGUGUAAGCGCAGCGAUGCGUUGAGCUAACCGGUACUAAUGAACCGUGAGGCUUAACCUUACAACGCCGAAGCUGUU
rnacentral:rRNA from 1 species